rnacentral:rRNA from 1 species
CUACAGCUUGACACUGAACAUUGAGCCUUGAUGUGUAGGAUAGGUGGGAGGCUUUGAAGCGCGGACGCCAGUCUGCGUGGAGCCAACCUUGAAAUACCACCCUUUAAUGUUUGAUGUUCUAACUUAGUCCCGUGAUCCGGGAUGAGGACAGUGUCUGGUGGGUAGUUUGACUGGGGCGGUCUCCUCCUAAAGAGUAACGGAGGAGCACGAAGGUCAGCUAAUCACGGUCGGACAUCGUGAGGUUAGUGCAAUGGCAUAAGCUGGCUUGA